UACGUAGGGUGCAAGCGUUAAUCGGAAUUACUGGGCGUAAAGCGUGCGCAGGCGGUUAUGUAAGACAGAUGUGAAAUGCCCGGGCUUAACCUGGGAACUGCAUUUGUGACUGCAUGGCUAGAGUUUGGCAGAGGGGGGUAGAAUUCCACGUGUAGCAGUGAAAUGCGUAGAGAUGUGGAGGAAUACCGAUGGCGAAGGCAGCCCCCUGGGAUAACACUGACGCUCAUGCACGAAAGCUGGGGAGCAA
rnacentral:rRNA from 1 species